rnacentral:rRNA from 1 species
AACGAACGCUGGCGGCAUGCCUAACACAUGCAAGUCGAACGAGACAUUCGGGUCUAGUGGCGCACGGGUGCGUAACGCGUGGGAACCUGCCCUUAGGUUCGGAAUAACUCCCCGAAAGGGGUGCUAAUACCGGAUAAUGUCUUCGGACCAAAGAUUUAUCGCCUUUGGAUGGGCCCGCGUUGGAUUAGCUAGUUGGUAGGGUAAAAGCCUACCAAGGCGACGAUCCAUAGCUGGUCUGAGAGGAUGAUCAGCCACACUGGGACUGAGACACGGCCCAGACUCCUACGGGAGGCAGCAGUGGGGAAUAUUGGACAAUGGGCGAAAGCCUGAUCCAGCAAUGCCGCGUGAGUGAUGAAAGCCUUAGGGUUGUAAAGCUCUUUUACCCGGGAUGAUAAUGACAGUACCGGGAGAAUAAGCUCCGGCUAACUCCGUG